UCAAUAAUGAACUGUAACUGUCACACCCUGAUCUGUUUCACCUGUCUUUGUGCUUGUCUUCUAUCAUUCGCUGUCUCAGUAGAUUAUAUUGAAGCAACACCUCCCCCUACAGCUCCAUUUGAGGUCUGCAUUCUGUCAUCACAUAUCCGAUGAGGUCACUUCCUGGCUCUCCUCUCCACUCAAUAAAGAUGAGAUGUCAGUUGGUUUUCAACAAUCAUUGAGAGUCAACAUGUACAAACCUCUUAUCAUUAUCACAGUCCCCCUCUUCUGGAUCACAGGUGUGUCUCUCAGUAAGGUAGUGUACCAGUCUCCCUCUACACUGCUGGUAGAGCCUAAUGCGUCUGUCUCUGUCCCACUCAGCUGCAGUCAUAAAAUCUCUAACUAUGACACUAUCCUCUGGUACCAGCGUCCUGUGGGAGACACAGCUCUGAAACUCAUAGCAUAUGUGUACUUUACAGGUCAGACUGUUGAACCCUCAUAUAAAGGUUACGUUGACGUGAAAGGUGAUGGAAGGAACGAAGCCUUCCUUCAUCUCCUCAAACUGAGACAAGUUGAAGACAGUGGGGAGUAUUUCUGUGCUGCUAGUUAUACACAGUGGUUACAGAGACACCGUCUACUCUACAAAAACCUCUACCUAUCAGACCCAUCUGGUACUGUAUCAAAACACCUGCAUUAAACCACAUGAAC